rnacentral:rRNA from 1 species
CCUACGGGGGGCAGCAGUGGGGAAUAUUGCGCAAUGGGGGAAACCCUGACGCAGCGACGCCGCGUGAGCGAAGAAGGCCUUAGGGUCGUAAAGCUCUGUUUUAAGGGACGAAGUCUCUUGGGGGUAAUAUACCUAAGAGGUGACGGUACCUUACGAGAAAGCCCCGGCUAACUACGUGCCAGCAGCCGCGGUAAGACGUAGGGGGCGAGCGUUGUCCGGAAUUACUGGGCGUAAAGAGCACGUAGGCGGAUAUUUAAGUCAGGUGUGAAAGACCGCAGCCUAACUGCGGGGUUGCACUUGAAACUGGGUAUCUUGAGGGCAGGAGAGGUCAGUAGAAUUCCUGGUGUAGCGGUGAAAUGCGUAGAAAUCAGGAGGAAUACCAGUGGCGAAGGCGGCUGACUGGACUGGCCCUGACGCUGAGGUGCGAAAGCGUGGGGAGCAAACAGGAUUAGAUACCCGAGUAGUC